GUUGACCAAAUUACUCCAGAAAACAGAAUGUCUGUUAUCAAUCAAGUACUCAUCAAUCGAAGAACUUUCUUUUAAGUGCGUUUCAGUUUCACCGAAUAACAAGAUACUUCCAGAAUAACCUCCGGUUUGCAUACGCGCAUUUGCAAUGAUUGAGCGGUUCACGGGACCUGUUUUGACACUCGUGUUCGUCAACAGGGAUGACAACUCACAAACCAAAUCAUUUAUAAACGACUGAGGUCCGGAGUUGGUACCGCUUCGGAGCUUACGGAAUAAGUAGGUUGCGCCCCAUGCUAACAACUGGUGGCAAACACUCGAGCUAAUAAAACUGUCAACUGUUGUACCUUGCUUUGAAAGAAUAAGUGAUUUCUCUUCAACGGUGAAUGCUGAAUAUAACCGGAAAACAAUUAAACGCUCACGAUGUGAAUCGAUGGUGAUCCUCUUAAGCGAUUUUAUAUCAUUUGACGGGUUCCGGUCACUGUUGAAUAAUAUAACGACAUCCACACGGGAAAGCCGAAGAUUUGACAGACAAGCAAGGUGAUCACAUAAGCAAACGAACCUAUCGCUCUCGGCUUUGUUGAACAUUUCUAACGCUUCUUCUUUCUUUACAUAUCCAGAACGAGAAAGCGUCCACCAGGGGAUAUACACAUACGAAUUCUCGCCGAAUCUUUGACGAACAAGAUCAUCCAAAUAACGCCCGGUUGACAUCUUCUCUGAAUUAACCGUCGACUGUCAAUCAACAAAACAGUUCAAGCAUGUAAAAACUAAAGUACAUUAAAAGAUUUACUUACGUGAAAUAGUACAAGUGCUCUCAAACCGCAUCGUUUAAUCUCCAACAGGAUCUUGUCGAAAACAUGCAGUUUGCCACUGACAUGGAUCAAAGAAGCUUCUUUCGAUGAAUUACGUAAAGUGGGGUCCACUAGAUACGGGUGAUCGCAGCACUGCAAGAUUAAUUAAUCGAAUUAAAGAAGCUUCUACUAUAUAGUAUGUGGAACAAUAGAUAUACAACGUUUACAACUACAAAAAAAAAAAAAAAAAAAAAAAAAAAAAAAAAAAAACCUUUUGGAUCUGUGUGAUGACAUCAUUGAGUGAAGAUGUUCUUGAUAAUGAAGCGAGUAUGAAUCGGGACCCAAUACUCUUCAAGAUCAGUGGUGCCGAACUUGCACUCGUUGCUACCUGUUGUGUAUGA
rnacentral:lncRNA from 1 species